CUCACAGUAAAUAUCCAGAGGUGCACCACCAAUGAGGCCAGGUGAGGCGAUCGCCUCAGUCAGCACCAGGUAGGGGUAAGAGGGGGGCAGUGGAAGGGCUAUGUGCAAUGAGCACUUUUAUUGUGGCAAAGGGUUUAGGUUAAGAAAUUGGCAUGGGGGGGCACCG